UACGAAGGGGGCGAGCGUUGUUCGGAUUUACUGGGCGCAAAGGGCGCGCAGGCGGUUCUGUUUGUCGAGUGUGAAAGCCCCGGGCUCAACCUGGGAACUGCGCUCGAAACGGCGGAACUAGAGUUCGGGAGAGGAGAGUGGAAUUCCCAGUGUAGAGGUGAAAUUCGUAGAUAUCGGGAGGAACACCAGUGGCGAAGGCGGAGACCUGGGCCAAUACUGACGCUGAGGUGCGAAAGCGUGGGGAGCAAACAGG
rnacentral:rRNA from 1 species